CUCCUACGGGAGGCAGCAGUAGGGAAUCUUCCACAAUGGACGAAAGUCUGAUGGAGCAACGCCGCGUGAGUGAAGAAGGGUUUCGGCUCGUAAAGCUCUGUUGGUAGUGAAGAAAGAUAGAGGGAGUAACUUGCCUUUAUUGACGGUAAUUACUUUGAAAGUCACGGCUAACUACGUGCCAGCAGCCGCGGUAAUACGUAGGUGGCAAGCGUUGUCCGGCUUUAUUGGGCGUAAAGCGAGUGCAGGCGGGUCCAUAAUGCUUAGUUGGAAGCCUUCGGCCCCACCCGAGAAAU
rnacentral:rRNA from 1 species